rnacentral:lncRNA from 1 species
ACUUCAGCUACUAUUAUUUUGGAGUUUUCAUUUGAAUCAUAGCCAUUUUUGUUGUUGUGACGAAGUUUUAAUUUUCGCUACUAUGGUUGCUACGAGUGAAAAUAAUUGCGCAGAUGCCUGUAAAAACCUAGCUCUGUUGCUGUUACUUCUAAAUGUACAAAAUCUUCACAGAUUUCUGGUUUUUUUUUUUUUUUUUUGUGGGUGCAUUUUCAUUUGUUUAUUCUAGGGUUUGAGAAUGUAAAGAGGG